rnacentral:rRNA from 1 species
GACGAACGCUGGCGGCGUGCUUAACACAUGCAAGUCGAGCGGUAAGGCCCUUUCGGGGGUACACGAGCGGCGAACGGGUGAGUAACACGUGGGUGACCUGCCCUCAGCUCUGGGAUAAGCCUGGGAAACCGGGUCUAAUACUGGAUAUGACUCCAUGACGCAUGUUGUGGGGUGGAAAGCCUUGUGCGGCUGAGGAUGGGCCCGCGGCCUAUCAGCUUGUUGGUGGGGUGANGGCCUACCAAGGCGACGACGGGUAGCCGGCCUGAGAGGGCGACCGGCCACACUGGGACUGAGACACGGCCCAGACUCCUACAGGAGGCAGCAGUGGGGAAUCUUGCGCAAUGGGCGAAAGCCUGACGCAGCGACGCCGCGUGAGGGAUGACGGCCUGGUGUAAC